rnacentral:lncRNA from 1 species
UCGCUGGUGUUAGUUGGUAUGGCAAAGGCUAAGAGCUUCGGCAGUGCAAUUCUUUUUGUUGCCAUUAUUCUUUUUAUUUUGAUAACUCAUCAUGACAAUCUCUCGUCGGCACUCGCUAACCCUAUUCCUCUGCCAAUGUGGGGCUCUGGUUCUAAUAGAGGUGCUCAAACAGGCACGAGCUACACUUUAGGACGGCAGCAAGGCCAGCAAUAUCAGCAAGCGCUGGCUCUAAGGCAGCAGCAAGAACGACAGCGACAAGAGCGAGAACGGCAAGAGCGACUACGGCGACAACAGGAAAUGGCGCGACGACAACAAAAAGGCUGAUCAUGAUAAAAGCAAUAUAAAAAAAAGCUUCGUAAUCCAGUCGGUACAUAUAGGGUUCAACGUUGUCAUCAACUCGAAUUAACGAAGCUUUCAUGGCACUGAACUUGAUUUACCGAAGCUUUCUCGGAAAUAAAUUAGCAAAAAUGUA